AAUAAGAAAGUUGGCAGAAUGUGUUUGUUAAAAAGAAGAUAAACAUAAAAUAUUUUGCUCAUCCAAGAAGAGAACUAAAAAUUAGGCCUAGAUCGUGCAACUACUUAGCAAAAGCUUAAAUAAUUAGCAGAAAGUAGCCUAAUAAUGAGUUGGAAUUGCUGAAUUAAAAAAGAAUGAACAAAAUUUAUUAAAUUUUCUAAUAAUAUAAUCCAGAUAAAGAUGGACUAUACGUAUCAUACAAGCAAAGCAGCUAGAAAUUCAGUUGUUAUCUAAUAUAAAAAGAGUACCCUCCAUUCUCCUUUUUAGCAGCCACGGGAGUGGAGAUUUUUGUUGUUUCUCUCUCUUUCGCAGGAACCUGUCCAUGGCAUUGAGAAGUAAGGACACUUUCAAUCGAUCGAUAAUAGAUAAAACAAUCACGUUGCUCAAUCAAUACAAAUUAGAUAGGCAGUUCUAGAUUUAUUUGCAUCGGGAAUGGUAAGAAGAUCUAACCUUCUUUGGAGCAGAAGACUUCUCCUCCUGAGGAGACGAUUUCAUUUGGUUCAAACUGUUCUGAAAUGUCUUAAAUGCCCGUUUUACAAUGUCCUUGUCGCCCAUUUUCUCCAUGAUGAAAGAUCUUCUAAUUCCGUUAACAGAAGAUGGAUCAGAGUUGGGAGUUCCCAGACUAAGAGACAUAUGCAGAGACUUGGGUGCUACUUUCUUGCUUUCAAUAGAAGAUGGAUUCCGGCUCCUUAAUAGAGACGAAUUACUUCCCUUGUUUACAGAGGACCGCAACACAGAAGACCGCGCUGCAGGUGUGGUGGGUCCUGGUGUUGUCUUGGAGAGUUUG
rnacentral:lncRNA from 1 species